rnacentral:lncRNA from 1 species
GACCGGGUGUCCUGCUCCAUUCAGCUUUGGGAAAGGGGCCCUUGAACCUGCUCAGGGCAGGAAAACCCUUCCUCUCACACCGGUCCUGCUCCUCUGGUCCUUGUUCUGCAUGGUGUGAGCUCACCAGAGUCUGCCCUGCCGCAGGGACUUUGAACACAGUCCAUUUCCUUUGUCACUCUCGGGCCCCAUUGCUGUAAUUUAUGUCCUAAUCCCUUGUGGGCCAUCAUCUUGGCCUGGCUGUGCUGUCACAUAUGCCCCCCUCAGGCAUGCCUAGUGGUGAUACCUUGAUGUUCUUGAGAUGCCAUUGUGCUGCUGUCAUUGCUGUUGUGCCAUGAUGCUACCGUUUAUCUUGUCCACUGUGCCCACUGCCCCGUUAGCGAUUCCUCAGCAGGAAUCUCUCCAAUCAUGCAACAGAAGCAUAUGCUGUUGGGCAAUAGACUUGUGCAGCUGGUUUAGCUCAAAGGAUGCUAACUAGUCCCAUCAAAAUCAAGACUAGCCUUCACAUGUCUCUCAUUCACACCUGCCUGAUGUUCAUUUCAAAAGAUAGCAGAGGCCAUCUCACUUCUCACCAAGGAAUGCACAGGAGGCUAAGAGGAAGCUGGUUCUGCACAAGUGAAUGUGCUGUAUCAAGACACAGAGGGUAAGAGAAGAUUCCGGAGCCUUAUUCUCCAUAAAAUUGUAGUUUUAUGCUAGAAUAUUUCCAUUGAUUUCAGUAAUGGUGUAACAGAGUUGGGAAUCAGGCUCUUAGUAGUCGUAUGAAAGUUACUGCUUGAAGCCUCCAGAAUGACGCAUGCAGAAUUACAAUGACAUAAGGCCAGGUUUGAUGGGUUUAAAUGGGUAGUUUAAGGCAGACAAAAAGGGUUCAUUAGAAUGACUUUAGUAUUUGCACAGUUUGGUUUUGCUAUUCUGUAUCAGGAAGGUAAGCAGAGAGAGGAUAUAUAUGCACUGUCUACAUAAUACAGUCAAACCCCCAAAUUAUGCAGGAGCAUUUCAUCCAUCCAUCCAGUGUUCCAAUUUUCUACACACUGGUUGCUGUUGCUAAGGGCAGUACAAGUAAUUGCUGCUCAAAUGUGUUGCAUUUUCAAUAGUUAAUUUCCCUUCUGAUUAGGAAAUAAAAUAUAGGAUUUCUCCA